CCCUUAGACGUUCUGGGCCGCACGCGCGCUACACUGACCGGUGCAACAAGCAUCCGUCCUUGGCCGACAGGCCCGGGCAAUCUUUGAACGCCGGUCGUGAUGGGGAUAGACUUUUGCAAUUUUUGGUCUUCAACGAGGAAUUCCUAGUAAACGCAAGUCAUCAACUUGCAUUGAUUACGUCCCUGCCCUUUGUACACACCGCCCGUCGCACCUACCGAUUGAAUGGUCCGGUGAAGCCUCCGGAUUGGCGCGCACCUCGGUGCCGCCGAGAAGUUGGCUAAACCUUACCAUUUAGAGGAAGGUGAAGUCGCAACA
rnacentral:rRNA from 1 species